UGGGUAAGUUCAAGAAUGAUAAUAGUGUAAUUUUCUAAACUUGACAUCAGAGUGAAGGGUACAUGAGGCGUUAUUAUAUUUGUGGUCAAGUAAUUUUCAUUUUCUUUUUGGUGAAGUAAUUCCUCGCUGCUAUGUGUAGACCAUGUUGCCAUCUCAGGCACUUGUGCUCAAUUCGCCUCAGCUGCUUCACUAUAGAAAUUUAGAAUACCGAAAAAUAUAAGAGUAUAAACUCAUAGCAGCACUGUGCAAUGAACUAAAAUUUCUCAAGCGACUAAUGGAAGAUGGGUUGCUAAAAGAAUAGAGCUGCCUCCCCAGCAUGGGCCACCGGAAACAACUAGGAUGGUUUUGUGUAUAUCUGUUUACUUAUGAAAUCCGUUUCUUGGCAGCUGUAAGCCAAGUAGUCAUUGUGGGCCUAAUCAUAUUAUCGUUAAUUUUUUUAACACCAAGGGAAUGGUGUAAUUGUGAACCUAUAAUCCGAACCAGGAAUUACCUCCAGAAGCUAAGCAGACCUCAAUUAUUUUGAUUUGUGUGUGUUAAUUGUUCCUGUCGUCACUCGUCUGUGAUGUUAUUUCUUUACAGUGAGCUAUUUUGCUGCAGAACUAAAUGACUUUGGGCGGUGGGGUUGUCCGGGGGAGUUUGACAAGCAUCAAAAUGGAAAGUUGGAUCAACAUGCGUUGCUUGACGUGUAUUGUUGCAGUGAAAUGCAUCCGGCCAAAGAUACGUUUCAUACUCCAUUGUUCUGUAUAAGUGGAAAAGGGUAUUUGUCUCAUUCUUUCCUGUUUAUAUGCUUGGAAAAUUGUAGAGGACUCAAAAAUGUAUUAAUAAGAAUGCAAUUCCAGUUUACAGAUUCUACAUUUCUUUUGCUCAGUCUGGCACGGUUCUUCUUUACCUUGGUAGAUUAAGCCUUCAACCCUGAUGCAAAGCGGAUGCAUUUCGAGGUUUGUUAUCCUUGUACUUUUAUCCUUAAUGAUUGCUGAAUGUUGAGAAAUGUCUGCUUUGGGUACUUCCGUAUUUUGCCG
rnacentral:lncRNA from 1 species